rnacentral:rRNA from 1 species
AUGGCCGCUGCGGCGGGCGACGAGCCGGAGACGACGGUAGAGGUGAAGCUGCGCGCCGUCGGUCCGUCCAGGCCCACCACCAUCCGCCUCCCCCCGCUCAUCUCGGUUGCCGAUCUGCGCCGCAGCGUCGCUCUCGACCGGCGUCUCCCAGAAGACCGCCUCCGCCUGGUCCUCCGGGGGACGACUCUCCCGUGGGGAGACGACACCCAUGUCAAGCUCCGCGACGGGGAUAGUCUUAUAGUUGCCGUGGCACCUAAACCACCUGCUAAGCAUCUCCGCGGUGAUGAUGAUGAUGAUGACGAUGACGAUGAAGAAGAACUGAAGUUCAAGAUACCUCAAACAACAACCUGGUGGAAGAAAAGGAUUUUCAUAUUUCUUCGAGAAAAACUGAGAUUGCCCGAUAUCUUGUUGAUGGCACUAUUUUCUGUCACUAUGAAAGCAUGGAUUAUCAUCACACUAUGGUUCCUAUUGGCACCUAUUGCUCGAAAGUAUGAGGUCGGACCUUUAUAUAUACUUGCGACAGGUUUCUUGAUCAUACUUCUUAACCUUGGAAGACGACAACAAGGUGAUAUUAGUGCAUACUCCAUAUUCAAUGAAGACUUCAGGGAGAUUCCAGGAACAUUUAACGCGGAGCGCAUAGAUAGAGACCUCCGGGCAGGUCAAUUGUAA